rnacentral:rRNA from 1 species
GACAGAGGGUGCAAACGUUGUUCGGAAUUACUGGGCGUAAAGCGCGUGUAGGCGGUUCGUUAUGUCGGAUGUGAAAGCCCUUGGCUUAACCAAGGAAGUGCAUCCGAAACUGGCGAGCUAGAGUACUAAAGAGGAUCGCGGAAUUCCCGGUGUAGAGGUGAAAUUCGUAGAUAUUCGCAAGAACACCAGUGGCGAAGGCGGCUCACUGGCCCGAUACUGACGCUGAGGCACGAAAGCGUGGGGAGCAAACAGG